rnacentral:rRNA from 1 species
AGUGAACGCUGGCGGUAGGCCUAACACAUGCAAGUCGAACGGCAGCACAGUAAGAGCUUGCUCUUACGGGUGGCGAGUGGCGGACGGGUGAGGAAUACAUCGGAAUCUACUUUUUCGUGGGGGAUAACGUAGGGAAACUUACGCUAAUACCGCAUACGACCUACGGGUGGAAGCAGGGGAUCUUCGGACCUUGCGCGAUUGAAUGAGCCGAUGUCGGAUUAGCUAGUUGGCGGGGUAAAGGCCCAUCAAGGCGACGAUCCGUAGCUGGUCUGAGAGGAUGAUCAGCCACACUGGAACUGAGACACGGUCCAGACUCCUACGGGAGGCAGCAGUGGGGAAUAUUGGACAAUGGGCGCAAGCCUGAUCCAGCCAUACCGCGUGGGUGAAGAAGGCCUUCGGGUUGUAAAGCCCUUUUGUUGGGAAAGAAAAGCAGCAGGUUAAUACCCCGCUGUUCUGACGGUACCCAAAGAAUAAGCACCGGCUAACUUCGUG